CGGUAAUACGGAGGAUGCAAGCGUUAUCCGGAAUGAUUGGGCGUAAAGGGUCCGCAGGUGGCAUUGUAAGUCUGCUGUUAAAGAGUUUGGCUCAACCAAAUAAGAGCAGUGGAAACUACAAAGCUAGAGUGUGGUCGGGGCAGAGGGAAUUCCUGGUGUAGCGGUGAAAUGCGUAGAUAUCAGGAAGAACACCAGUGGCGAAGGCGCUCUGCUAGGCCGAGACUGACACUGAGGGACGAAAGCUAGGGGAGCGAAUGGGAUUAGAUACCCCAGUAGUCCUAGCCGUAAACGAUGGAUACUAGGCGUAGCUCGUAUCGACCCGAGCUGUGCCGGAGCUAACGCGUUAAGUAUCCCGCCUGGGGAGUACGCAGGCAACUGUGAAACUCAAAG
rnacentral:rRNA from 1 species